CAAGGAAUUUUCCGCAAUGGGCGAAAGCCUGACGGAGCAACGCCGCGUGUGGGAUGACGCGUUUCGGCGUGUAAACCACUGUUCAUGGGGACGAAGCACUGACGGUACCCAUGGAGGAAGGCCCGGCUAACUACGUGCCAGCAGCCGCGGUAAUACGUAGGGGUCGAGCGUUGUCCGGAGUUACUGGGCGUAAAGCGCGCGCAGGUGGCUCAUUACGCCCGGCGUGAAAGCCCCCGGCCUAACCGGGGAAAGUCGUCGGGUACGGGUGAGCUUGAGGGUAUCAGGGGCAGGUAGAAUUCCCGGUGUAGUGGUGAAAUGCGUAGAGAUCGGGAGGAAUACCCGUGGCGAAGGCGGCCUGCUGGGAUACACCUGACACUGAGGCGCGAAGGCGUGGGGAGCGAACG
rnacentral:rRNA from 1 species